rnacentral:piRNA from 1 species
UGGGAAGGCCGCCACCCCGUCUGGGA